rnacentral:rRNA from 1 species
CCUACGGGGGGCAGCAGUGAGGAAUAUUGGUCAAUGGACGCAAGUCUGAACCAGCCAUGCCGCGUGCAGGAAGACGGCUCUAUGAGUUGUAAACUGCUUUUGUACGAGGGUAAACGCAGAUACGCGUAUCUGUCUGAAAGUAUCGUACGAAUAAGGAUCGGCUAACUCCGUGCCAGCAGCCGCGGUAAUACGGAGGAUUCAAGCGUUAUCCGGAUUUAUUGGGUUUAAAGGGUGCGUAGGCGGUCGGAUAAGUUAGAGGUGAAAUCCCGAGGCUCAACUUCGGAAUUGCCUCUGAUACUGUUCGG